AAAGCUCCUGACUCUAUCGCUUCUUUUGAAGAGGAAAGUCCGGACAACACAGAGCAUCAUACUAGUUAACGGCUAGGCAUUUUUAUAAUGAUAGCUAGUGCAACAGAAAAAAACCGCCUUCGGGUAAGGGUGAAAAGGUGAGGUAAAAGCUCACCAGUAUUUCGAGUAAUCGAGAUAGCUGUGCAAACCUUAUGAGGUGAAAGGUCAUGUAUACCAGGAUUUCUUUAGAGAAUUAGAGUUGCUCGCUCGAACCUGGAGGGUAGACCGCUAAAGAUGCUUAGUGAUAAGUAUCGUAGAUAAAUGAUGGAGAUUCCUUUAGGGAUGACAGAAUCCGGCUUAUGACGGAGCUUUUCUU
rnacentral:RNase_P_RNA from 1 species